GAUGAACGCUGGCGGCAUGCCUAACACAUGCAAGUCGAGCGGACGGACGGGAAUUGCUCCUGGCUUCAGCGGGGGGCGGGUGAGUGAUGCCCAGGAGUAUGCCCGGCAGAGGGGGCUGACAUCCGGUAGCGAGAGCGAAUACAACAUCCGAUAAGAUUGAGAAAGGGGGGGUUCUUAGGACAUAGCGCUUUUUGAUGACCCUAGGAGGGAUUAGCUCGUUGGUGGGGUAAAGGCCUACCAAGACGACGAACCGAAGCAGGACUGAGAGGAUGAUCAGCCACACUGGAACUGAGACACGGUCCAGACUCCUACGGGAGGCAGCAGUAGGGAAUAUUGGGCAAUGGGCGAAAGCCUGACGCAGCCAUGCCGCGUGUGUGAAGAAGGUCUUCGGAUUGUAAAGCACUUUUAGUUGGGAGGAAGAGCAGUAAGUUAAUACGUUGCGGUCUUGACGGUACCAACAGAAAAAGCACCGGCUAACUACGUG
rnacentral:rRNA from 1 species